rnacentral:rRNA from 1 species
AUUGAACGCUGGCGGCAGGCCUAACACAUGCAAGUCGAACGGUAACAGGAAGAAGCUUGCUUCUUUGCUGACGAGUGGCGGACGGGUGAGUAAUGUCUGGGAAACUGCCUGAUGGAGGGGGAUAACUACUGGAAACGGUAGCUAAUACCGCAUAACGUCGCAAGACCAAAGAGGGGGACCUUCGGGCCUCUUGCCAUCGGAUGAUCCCAGAUGGGAUUAGCUAGUAGGUGGGGUAACGGCUCACCUAGGCGACGAUCCCUAGCUGGUCUGAGAGGAUGACCAGCCACACUGGAACUGAGACACGGUCCAGACUCCUACGGGAGGCAGCAGUAGGGAAUAUUGCACAAUGGGCGCAAGCCUGAUGCAGCCAUGCCGCGUGUAUGAAGAAGGUCUUCGGGUUGUAAAGUACUUUCAGCGGGGAGGAAGGGAGUAAAGUUAAUACCUUUGCUCAUUGACGUUACCCGCAGAAGAAGCACCGGCUAACUCCGUG